GAUGAACGCUGGCGGCGUGCCUAAUACACGCAAGUCGAGCGAACGGACGAGAAGCUUGCUUCUCUGAUGUUAGCGGCGGACGGGUGAGUAACACGUGGAUAACCUACCUAUAAGACUGGGAUAACUUCGGGAAACCGGAGCUAAUACCGGAUGAUAUUUUGAACCGCAUGGUUCAAAAGUGAAAGACGGUCUUGCUGUCACUUAUAGAUGGAUCCGCGCUGCAUUAGCUAGUUGGUAAGGUAACGGCUUACCAAGGCAACGAUGCAUAGCCGACCUGAGAGGGUGAUCGGCCACACUGGAACUUAGACACGGUCCAGACUCCUACGGGAGGCAGCAGUAGGGAAUCUUCCGCAAUGGGCGAAAGCCUGACGGAGCAACGCCGCGUGAGUGAUGAAGGUCUUCGGAUCGUAAAACUCUGUUAUUAGGGAAGAACAUAUGUGUAAGUAACUGUGCACAUCUUGACGGUACCUAAUCAGAAAGCCACGGCUAACUACGUG
rnacentral:rRNA from 1 species